UGAAUAACAAGCUAGACAACAACAAAGGGAACACUUUUCCAAAUGCACUUGCAUUGGGGAGGUUUGUUUACCACCGUAGCUGAAAAAAAACGAUCUUACAAAGACUGGGUGAAGAGCUAGGGCUGAAAUACCAGAGAGGUGAUGAGCUGAUUGAAGACAGGUGUUGAAUGGGCUAAGUCACUUUGUCACUGUAGUGGGAAGCAGGACAAGGGGCCUCCUGUUCCUCAGGGUAGUCCGCCACAAGCUCAUUGGUUUUGCUGAUAUUGAGCCUCAGAAAAAGAAAAUAAAAAGGCAAAAAUGCAGCAGCGCCGGGUGGGAGUGCUCCAGGAGCCAUCAUUUCAGUGUCGGAACGACGCAACCAUCUCCUCCACCCCACACACCCCGUGUUCAUCAGAUCCAGGGUCCAUGGGUCCUUCCACUGAGCUCAUCAGAGUCCUGCUCCACAUCUCAUCCAUCCAGAUCUUCAGCUCAGGACAUGAUCUCCCCCUGAAAAUGUCAUGAUGGGGUCUAAUCGCCAAACACUUCUCACAUAUUCAGGGAUUAAAGCAAGAAAACAUUUGUGAGCCUGAAAAGUAGUCCAGGAGGAAAUAUGUACAAUGUAUUUAAUUAAGUAUUAUAUUAAUUUAAAGCUGCUCUAUGGCGCCUCUGUGAGCUUUAAGCCCUGCAGAUUUUCUUCAACCUUCCCUACUGUGCACAUUACAUCAAAUAAAUGCAAUUACUCUCUAAGACUUUCCUUCAAUUGAGUCUCUCCUGAUUGAAAUAAAAUUGCAUACAAA